GAUAUGAAGAUUUAUCGGAAUAUCUUAGUGGCGGACGGGUGAGUAACACGUGAGCAACCUGCCUUUGAGAGUGGAAUAGCUUCUGGAAACGGAUGGUAAUGCCUCAUAACAUACAAGAAUCGCAUGGUUUUUGUAUCAAAGAUUUAUCGCUCAAAGAUGGGCUCGCGUCUGAUUAGAUAGUUGGUGGGGUAACGGCUCACCAAGUCGACGAUCAGUAGCCGGACUGAGAGGUUGAACGGCCACAUUGGGACUGAGACACGGCCCAGACUCCUACGGGAGGCAGCAGUGGGGAAUAUUGCACAAUGGGGGAAACCCUGAUGCAGCGAUGCCGCGUGGAGGAAGAAGGUUUUCGGAUUGUAAACUCCUGUCUUAAAGGACGAAAAUGACGGUACUUUAGGAGGAAGCUCCGGCUAACUACGUGCCAGCAGCCGCGGUAAUACGUAGGGAGCGAGCGUUGUCCGGAAUUACUGGGUGUAAAGGGAGCGUAGGCGGGAUUUUAAGUCAGAUGUGAAAUACGUGGGCUCAACCUACGGGCUGCAUUUGAAACUGAAAUUCUUGAGUGAAGUAGAGGCAAGCGGAAUUCCUGGUGUAGCGGUGAAAUGCGUAGAUAUCAGGAGGAACACCGGUGGCGAAGGCGGCUUGCUGGGCUUUAACUGACGCUGAGGCUCGAAAGCGUGGGUAGCAAACAGGAUUAGAUACCCUGGUAGUCCACGCUGUAAACGAUGAUUACUAGGUGUGGGGGGACUGACCCCUUCCGUGCCGCAGUUAACACAAAUAGUAAUCCACCUGGGGAGUACGGCCGCAAGGCUGAAACUCAAAG
rnacentral:rRNA from 1 species